UACGUAGGGUGCGAGCGUUAAUCGGAAUUACUGGGCGUAAAGCGUGCGCAGGCGGUUAUGUAAGACAGUUGUGAAAUCCCGGGCUCAACCUGGGAAUUGCAUCUGUGACUGCAUAGCUAGAGUACGGUAGAGGGGGAUGGAAUUCCGCGUGUAGCAGUGAAAUGCGUAGAUAUGCGGAGGAACACCGAUGGCGAAGGCAAUCCCCUGGACCUGUACUGACGCUGAGA
rnacentral:rRNA from 1 species